rnacentral:rRNA from 1 species
UGGGGAAUUUUGGACAAUGGGGGCAACCCUGAUCCAGCCAUUCCGCGUGAGUGAAGAAGGCCUUCGGGUUGUAAAGCUCUUUUGGCAGGGAAGAAACGGUUGUGGUGAAUAUCCACGACUACUGACGGUACCUGCAGAAUAAGCACCGGCUAACUACGUGCCAGCAGCCGCGGUAAUACGUAGGGUGCGAGCGUUAAUCGGAAUUACUGGGCGUAAAGCGUGCGCAGGCGGUUUUAUAAGCCAGAUGUGAAAUCCCCGGGCUUAACCUGGGAAUGGCAUUUGGGACUGUAAGGCUAGAAUCUGGCAGAGGGGGGUAGAAUUCCACGUGUAGCAGUGAAAUGCGUAGAGAUGUGGAGGAAUACCGAUGGCGAAGGCAGCCCCCUGGGCUAAGAUUGACGCUCAUGCACGAAAGCGUGGGGAGCAAACAGGAUUAGAUACCCCCGUAGUCC